GCGGUCGUGGUGAAGUGGUUAACACAACUGGUUGUGGUCCAGUCAUUCCGAGGGUUCGAUUCCCUUCGACCGCCCCA
rnacentral:tRNA from 2 species